AUAGAACGCUGGCGGAAUGCUUUACACAUGCAAGUCGAGCGGCAGCACGGGGGCAACCCUGGUGGCGAGCGGCGAACGGGUGAGUAAUACAUCGGAACAUGCCCAGUCGUGGGGGAUAACACUUCGAAAGAAGUGCUAAUACCGCAUACGUCCUGAGGGAGAAAGCGGGGGAUCUUCGGACCUCGCGCGAUUGGAGUGGCCGAUGUCAGAUUAGCUAGUUGGUGGGGUAAAGGCCUACCAAGGCAACGAUCUGUAGCUGGUCUGAGAGGAUGAUCAGCCACACUGGGACUGAGACACGGCCCAGACUCAUACGGGAGGCAGCAGUGGGGAAUUUUGGACAAUGGGGGCAACCCUGAUCCAGCCAUUCCGCGUGAGUGAAGAAGGCCUUCGGGUUGUAAAGCUCUUUCGGCAGGAACGAAACGGCGAGCUCUAACAUAGCUUGCUAAUGACGGUACCUGAAGAAGAAGCACCGGCUAACUACGUGCCAGCGGCCGCCGUAAAAC
rnacentral:rRNA from 1 species